UGCUUUAACGCAAUGAUGAAAACAUAUUCUUAAAGUAAAGAAUGAAAAUUCUGUAUAAUAAAAGGUGUUUAAAAUGUUUUACUGUGUGUAUUAGUAGGUAUAUAAGUAUAACAAAACUUAUACUGCACGGCAGUAUUUCUUUUUAAAGAAAUUGUGUGGUUAGCAAAACAGACGCCUGUGGCUCUUACUAGUCAGUCUCUUUUUUUUUUAAUCAGCAAUGAUGAAGUGUAGUGGAACAGUUUUGCACGUAACACUGUGUGGAUGCUUGCAUCAUAUUUCACAACUACCGCCAACACUCCGAGCACGAGCAGACAGCCAGUCAGUGAGACUGCGUGUGAAGUCUGACCUGCAUCAUGUGAGGUACCGAGUAAAUUAGCAGCAGCCUCAUUAUUAGCAACAUUUAAAUGCGCAAGGCAUUGUGGUGGCACGGAAUAAAUUGUCUCAGAUGCCGUGGGUAACAUUCACAAAUAAGUAUUGCGAAGCAUUAAAAAAACAACGUUAUUAAAAACGAGGCGGUGUCAUAAGCCUCUCCCUCUGCGUUUCCCCUGGUAACUUUGUCCAACCUAGAAUAUUAUUUUAUAAGACCCAUUUUCCAAGAUCCCUCCAGCUUCAUGGUGAAGGACUUGCACUGUUUUGCAAGAUAACUAUGAGAGACUUUUUUUUCCCCCUACAGCUGGAUGAAACUAAACUGCCUCUUUACCCCUAUUCAAUAGGAAGCUCACUCUUUUAAUCCUACUCUAUUUCUUUCUCUCUCUCUCUCUCUCUCUCUCUCUCUCUCUCUCUCUCUCUCUCCUCUUCUUUUUUUGUGAGUAUUUGAAUUUUAAUGAGCUUUUCACCUUUUAAGCAGAUGGCUCAGUCUGGAUUUCUCCAUGAAAGUAGGGCUCCCCUAAUGAAAUCAGCUGAAGGAAAAACAAUCUCUCUUGAGGCUCGGAGAUGAGCGGUAUCACAAUCACUACAGGAAGCCCAGAGUCCUACCGUGGAGAAAGUUUGACCUACCUGCCAGGCCGCUUUCUUGCUUCGGGCAAAUUCCUUUUGGGGGCGUCAACAGUCUGUCGUCCUCCUCCUCGGGUGUCACCUGGAUUCCUAUUUCGACCGGUUCUACCACUUUCC